GAUGAACGCUGGCGGCGUGCCUAAUACAUGCAAGUCGAGCGAACAGAUGAGGAGCUUGCUACUCUGACGUUAGCGGCGGACGGGUGAGUAACACGUGGAUAACCUACCUAUAAGACUGGGAUAACUUCGGGAAACCGGAGCUAAUACCGGAUAAUAUAUUGAACCGCAUGGUUCAAUAGUGAAAGACGGUUUUGCUGCCACUUAUAGAUGGAUCCGCGCCGCAUUAGCUAGUUGGUAAGGUAACGGCUUACCAAGGCAACGAUGCGUAGCCGACCUGAGAGGGUGAUCGGCCACACUGGAACUGAGACACGGUCCAGACUCCUACGGGAGGCAGCAGUAGGGAAUCUUCCGCCAUGGGCGAAAGCCUGACGGAGCAACGCCGCGUGAGUGAUGAAGGUCUUCGGAUCGUAAAACUCUGUUAUUAGGGAAGAACAAAUGUGUAAGUAACUAUGCACGUCUUGACGGUACCUAAUCAGAAAGCCACGGCUAACUACGUG
rnacentral:rRNA from 1 species